CGGCCAUCAUAUGCAAUGUAGUUGGAUGGGCUAAUCACACACCCUCCAUGGCUGCAUUUGAAGCAGCUCCUGUGAUAUGCACUGCCAUUCACCGAGACCUAUAACGAUAUAAUUCCAGAUUCAUCAAAAAGGAGGUUCACAUUCAUUGGUGGAGCCUUGUUUGGUGGGCAAGUAGAUUCUGUAUUUCUCUUCACAGGCUCAGUUCAUUCUAAACUGACACUGCAACAACACAUGAAUAUAUUAUGGAUUCUGUGAGAUAUGUUCUCCAAAAUGCUGGUGUAUGGGUGGUCUAGGGGGCCAUCAUGAGUCAAGAAACUAGGUGCACUUUGUAAUAUGUUCAGAUGAACAACUUGUACAUUCAUUUUAAUUUGUUUUUUAUGUGUAUUUUUCAAUGACAAGAUGGACUGCAAAAAAUAAAAUAAAAUAAAAAAAUCAUUUUGCAUUAUAAA